AAUGAACGUUGGCGGCGUGGAUUAGGCAUGCAAGUCGAGCGGUAGGGAGCUGCUCACUCGCGUUCAUUUAGCCCCCGGUCAUUGACCGGGGGCUAAGUGGGCCGCGUGAGCAGCUCCUGAGAGCGGCGAAAGGGAGAGUAACGCGUAGUUACGUGCCCCGAGGUCCGGAAUAGCCACGGGAAACUGUGGGUAAUGCCGGAUGAUCUCUACGGAGCAAAGGUGUGAUUCCGCCUUGGGAGCGGACUGCGUUGUACUAGCUAGUUGGUAGGGUAAUGGCCUACCAAGGCAAUGAUGCAUAGCGGGCGUGAGAGCGUGGCCCGUCUCACUGGGACUGAGACACUGCCCAGACACCUACGGGUGGCUGCAGUCGAGAAUCUUCGGCAAUGAGCGCAAGCUUGACCGAGCGACGCCGCGUGCGGGAUGAAGGCCUUCGGGUUGUAAACCGCUGUCGUAGGGGAGGAAGGCUCCGUGAAGAACGGGGUUUGACCUAUCCUAGGAGGAAGGACGGGCUAAGUUCGUGCCAGCCGCCGCCGUAACAC
rnacentral:rRNA from 1 species